CUCCUUGAGAGUCCUGAAGGAACGUUGAAGACGACGACGUUGAUAGGCCGGGUGUGUAAGCGCAGCGAUGCGUUGAGCUAACCGGUACUAAUGAACCGUGAGGCUUAACCUUACAACGCCGAAGCUGUUUUG
rnacentral:rRNA from 1 species